rnacentral:rRNA from 1 species
UGGCGGACGGCUGAGUAACGCGUAGGAACGUACCCCAAAGUGAGGAAUAACUGCCCGAAAGGGUGGCUAAUGCCGCAUGUGAUCUUCGGAUUAAAGCUCCGGCGCUUUGGGAACGGCCUGCGUCCGAUUAGCUAGUUGGUGAGGUAAAUGCUCACCAAGGCGACGAUCGGUAGCUGGUCUGAGAGGAUGAUCAGCCAGACUGGGACUGAGACACGGCCCAG